rnacentral:rRNA from 1 species
UAGGGAAUCUUCGGCAAUGGGGGGAACCCUGACCGAGCAACGCCGCGUGAGUGAAGAAGGUUUUCGGAUCGUAAAGCUCUGUUGUUAAGGAAGAACGAGUGUGAGAAUGGAAAGUUCAUGCUGUGACGGUACUUAACCAGAAAGGGACGGCUAACUACGUGCCAGCAGCCGCGGUAAUACGUAAGGUCCGAGCGUUGUCCGGAAUCAUUGGGCGUAAAGGGUACGUAGGCGGAUAAGCAAGUUAGAAGUGAAAUCCUAUAGCUCAACUAUAGUCAUCUUUUAAAACUGCUCAUCUUGAGGUAUGGAAGGGAAAGUGGAAUUCCUAGUGUAGCGGUGAAAUGCGCAGAUAUUAGGAGGAAUACCGGUGGCGAAGGCGACUUUCUGGCCAUAUACUGACGCUGAGGUACGAAAGCGUGGGUAGCAAACAGG